AUGGCGACACCGAUGAGAUCUAGUAUGGAUCCCCCCUUUCUUCUUCUUCUAGCUUUCUUCAGCUUGCUCGAAUCUCAUUGCGUUUGUGCGGUUUUUUUUGCAGAUCGUAUGGUCAAGGAGGACGCCAUGGACAAGCCCAAUGCCAUGGCGACCUCGCAAGCAGCACAGGAGGAAGCUAGACAUGGCGAUAACCGAUCUGGUAAGAGAUGGCUCUCACCAGAAUUGGUCUUGCUGGCCUCGCCGUCAUGGGGCAGAACCUUACCCUCAACAUUGCAGAGAAUGGCUUCCCCAUCUCUGUCUACAAGCUACGUCGCGCCAAGUUAG
rnacentral:rRNA from 1 species